CACGCCGUGAGCAGCAGACCAAUAAAGUGCGCUUCUUAAAAUACGGGCAGAAUGUAUACUGUCAAUUGAUGAUUGUUUCGCGCUCCAGAACAAUCUCAACCUAUUCAGCAAUUGAUGUGAGGCAAACCAACUAAGCCUCUAUGUGGAUAAAUGCAGCGCGCUUACAUUCAGCAGGAAACGAACCCCUUUAAACUUUUGUUACUCAUUGCACAGAUACAAUUUGUCUCGCGUGUCAUCAGUCAGGGAUCUUGGUGUGAUUCUUGAUUCAUCACUAUCCUUUUGCGAGCAUUACCACUCUACUAUUACCAAGGCCAAUAGGAUGAUAGGAUUUGUAAUCAAGUAAACUCUUGAGAUAAAAGAUCUAAUAUGUCUGAAAGCAUUA